UCCUCGGGGCGCAGCAGUGAGGAAUAUUGGUCAAUGGGCUUACGCCUGAACCAGCCAAGUCGCGUGAGGGAAGACUGCCCUAUGGGUUGUAAACCUCUUUUGUCAGGGAGCAACGCCGGCUACGUGUAGCCGGACUGAGAGUACCUGAAGAAAAAGCAUCGGCUAACUCCGUGCCAGCAGCCGCGGUAAUACGGAGGAUGCGAGCGUUAUCCGGAUUUAUUGGGUUUAAAGGGUGCGUAGGCGGGCUGUUAAGUCAGCGGUAAAAGCCCGGGGCUCAACCCCGGCGAGCCGUUGAAACUGGCUGG
rnacentral:rRNA from 1 species